AGAGUUUGAUCCUGGCUCAGGACGAACGCUGGCGGUGCGCCUAAUGCAUGCAAGUCGAACGGGCGAAGGGGCUUCGGCCCCCUAGCUAGUGGCAGACGGCUGAGUAACACGUAAGUGAUCUGCCCCGGAGAGGGGGAUAAGCCGGAGAAAUCCGGUCUAAUACCCCGUACGCUCCCUUUACUACGGUAUAGGGAGGAAAGGUUCCGGCGCUCUGGGAGGAGCUUGCGGCCUAUCAGGUAGUUGGUGGGGUAACAGCCUACCAAGCCGAAGACGGGUAACCGAUGUGAGAGCAUGAUCGGUCAGAGGGGGACUGAGACACGGCCCCCACUCCUACGGGAGGCAGCAGCAGGGAAUCUUGCGCAAUGGGCGAAAGCCUGACGCAGCGACACCGCGUGGGGGAAGAAGGCCUCAGGGUUGUAAACCCCUUUUCUGUGGGAAGAGAUAGGACGGUACCACAGGAAUAAGCAUCGGCUAACUACGUGCCAGCAGCCGCGGUAAUACGUAGGAUGCAAGCGUUGUCCGGAUUUACUGGGCGUAAAGGGUGUGUAGGCGGCAUGGUAAGUCUCAUGUGAAAUCUCCCGGCUCAACUGGGAGGGGUCAUGGGAAACUGCCAAGCUUGAGGGCAGCAGAGGAAAGCGGAAUUCCGGGAGUAGUGGUGGAAUGCGUAGAUACCCGGAGGAACACCAGAGGCGAAGGCGGCUUUCUGGGCUGUGCCUGACGCUGAUACACGAAAGCGUGGGGAGCAAACCGGAUUAGAUACCCGGGUAGUCCACGCCCUAAACGAUGGAUACUAGAUAUAGGGGGUAUCGACCCCUCCUGUGUCGGAGUUAACGCGAUAAGUAUCCCGCCUGGGGAGUACGGCCGCAAGGCUAAAACUCAAAGGAAUUGACGGGUCCCCGCACAAGCGGCGGAGCGUGUGGUUUAAUUCGAUGAUAAGCGAAGAACCUUACCUGGGCUUGACAUGCAUUUGACAACCCAUGAAAAUGGGCUUUCCUUCGGGACAGAUGCACAGAUGUUGCAUGGCUGUCGUCAGCUCGUG
rnacentral:rRNA from 1 species